rnacentral:tRNA from 1 species
CGAGGUAUAGCUUAACCCUAAGGCAUCUUGCUUACACCAAGAAGACGGCUGCUAGUCCCAGCCUACCUCGAG